CUCGAAACGUCAACUCUUUUCUUCUCCGCCGAUGCUGCCAGACCUGCUGAGUUUUUCCAGGAAAACACCCAAGCUACUGUAUUGGAGAAGGAGUGAACCGUCGCCUGUGUCAUGAUUUUUGUAUAAUGUUGGACGUUGGUGGAAUACAGAGGGGAGAUAUGUAGUGAAAAUGCAUCAGAGAAAUGAAAGCCUGAUACUAGCUCUGAAAGAAAUGGGCCUUUAAAAAGAUACAUUGUAAAAGAUCACACAGCGGAGGAUGGAUCACCAUAGCAACAAGAACAUGACCAGGCCGGGUGGAGGUCAUUUUAAACACCUGCAAAGCUGGACACUGACAAAAAAAAAGUGGUGUGCAUUAAAUGUGGGCUGUAUUUAUUAGAGCCCAUUGUUGAUUAACCAUCACUGCAAAAUUGUGGCUCCUGGUGAGAAAAAGCUCCUUUAAAGCCAGGCAGCAUUCAGAGUAAAAAGAGACACAGUUCCACCUUAACUGCUUCAACAUUGCUUUUCACUCCCUAGCAGCUCCACCUCACCUGGUAUCUUUGGGAUGAAUUU